rnacentral:rRNA from 1 species
UACGAAGGGUGCAAGCGUUAAUCGGAAUUACUGGGCGUAAAGCGCGCGUAGGUGGUUCAGUAAGUUGGAAGUGAAAUCCCCGGGCUCAACCUGGGAACUGCUUUCAAAACUGCUGAGCUAGAGUACGGUAGAGGGUGGUGGAAUUUCCUGUGUAGCGGUGAAAUGCGUAGAUAUAGGAAGGAACACCAGUGGCGAAGGCGACCACCUGGACUGAUACUGACACUAAGGUGCGAAAGCGUGGGGAGCAAACAGG